rnacentral:rRNA from 1 species
CCCAGACUCCUACGGGAGGCAGCAGUGAGGAAUAUUGGUCAAUGGGCGCGAGCCUGAACCAGCCAAGUCGCGUGAGGGAUGACGGCCCUACGGGUUGUAAACCUCUUUUGUCGGGGAGCAAAUUCCGUUACGUGUAACGGAGUCGAGAGUACCCGAAGAAAAAGCAUCGGCUAACUACGUGCCAGCAGCCGCGGUAAUACGUAGGUGGUAAGCGUUGUCCGGAUUUACUGGGUGUAAAGGGCGUGCAGCCGGAGAGACAAGUCAGAUGUGAAAUCCACAGGCUCAACCUGUGAACUGCAUUUGAAACUGUUUCCCUUGAGUAUCGGAGAGGUCAUCGGAAUUCCUAGUGUAGCGGUGAAAUGCGUAGAUAUUAGGAAGAACACCAGUGGCGAAGGCGGAUGACUGGACGACAACUGACGGUGAGGCGCGAAAGCGUGGGGAGCAAACAGGAUUAGAUACCCGCGUAA